UAAAAACUUAUUUAAAUGUUUUAUAGUAAUUUAAUAAGUAUAAGAAAAAUAAUUUUAUAAAAGAAAUAUUAAGUAAUUUUUAGUGAAAUAUAAGUUGAAAUUAUAGAUAAUAAGUACUGUAAAGGAAAGUGUAAUGUAAGGAAAUUUUUUAUAGUAGAUUUAAGUUUUCGUAUUUUGUGUAUCAAAGAGAAUUUAUAUAAGCUAUUUAUUUUUAGAUAUCUCGAAAUAAAAAUAGCUAAUUUUAUAUAAAAGUUUUUGUGGAAAAUAAAUUUUUAAUAUAAAAUUUAAGAUGAUAUGUUAAUCGAGUUUUAUUAUAUCUGGUUUUUUAAAAAUAAAUUUAAUUUAAUUUUUGUAAGUGAUUUUAUACAAAAUUUAAGUGUAGGAGGGAUUAGCUUCUUAUAAAAUAGGAUAAUGAAAAGUUAAAUUAUUAAGGUGUUAUUGAAUUAGGCUUAAGAGUAGCUAUAUUUGUAAAGUGUUUUAACUAAACUUUAUAUAAAAAAUAUUUAUUAAAACUUUUAAUUAAUAUUAAAAAAUGAGUUUAAAUUAUAGAGAUUUAAAUAUAAUGAUUUUAUUAGUAUAAAUUUUUGUUUUAGUUAAUAAUUAAAAUAGUAAAUUAUUUUUAUUAAUUAAUGUAAUGGUAAUAUAAAGGAAUUCGGCAAAUAUUUUCUUUGCCUGUUUAUCAAAAACAUGUCUGUUUGGAGAUAUAAAAAGUUUAACCUGCCCACUGAAAAAAUAAUUUAAAGGGCCGCGGUAUUCUGACCGUGCAAAGGUAGCAUAAUCGUUAGUUUUUUAAUUGGAAUCUUGUAUGAAUGGUUGGACAAAAGAAAGUCUGUCUCUGUAUUAUUAGUUGAAUUUAACUUUUGAGUGAAAAGGCUUAAAUGAAUUAAAGGGACGAUAAGACCCUAUAAAGCUUAAUAUUAAAAUAUUAUUAGGUUGAAUUUUAUAUAUUAUAAAAAUUUAAUAAUAAAAUUUAUUAUAUUGGGGCGAUAAUAGUAAAAAGAUUAUUAACUGCUUAAUUUUUAAUACAAAUAUAAAUGAAAUAUUAUAAAUGAUCCUAAUUAAAGAUUAAAAGUUUAAGUUACUUUAGGGAUAACAGCGUUAUUUUUUUUGAGAGUUCUUAUCGAAAAAAAAGUUUGCGACCUCGAUGUUGAAUCAAAAUAUCUAUAUAAUUGCAGAAGUUAUAUAAGAAGGUCUGUUCGACCUUUAAAUUUUUACGUGAUUUGAGUUCAGACCGGCGUGAGCCAGGUCGGUUUCUAUCUUUUAGUAAGUAAAAAAUUAUUUUAGUACGAAAGGAUUUAAUAAUUGAAAUUAUUUUUAAAUAGUUGAUUU
rnacentral:rRNA from 1 species